rnacentral:rRNA from 1 species
GCAUAUCAAUAAGCGGAGGAAAAGAAACUAACAAGGAUUCCCCCUAGUAACUGCGAGUGAAGCGGGAAAAGCUCAAAUUUAAAAUCUGGCGGUCUUUGGCCGUCCGAGUUGUAGUCUGGAGAAGUGCUUUCCGCGCUGGACCGUGUAUAAGUCUCUUGGAACAGAGCGUCAUAGAGGGUGAGAAUCCCGUCUUUGACACGGACUACCAGUGCUUUGUGAUGCGCUCUCAAAGAGUCGAGUUGUUUGGGAAUGCAGCUCAAAAUGGGUGGUGAAUUCCAUCUAAAGCUAAAUAUUGGCGAGAGACCGAUAGCGAACAAGUACCGUGAGGGAAAGAUGAAAAGCACUUUGGAAAGAGAGUUAAACAGUACGUGAAAUUGCUGAAAGGGAAACGCUUGAAGUCAGUCGCGUUGUCUGGGACUCAGCCUUGCUUUUGCUUGGUGCACUUUCCGGAUGACGGGCCAGCAUCGAUUUUGACCGUCGGAAAAGGGCUAGGGUAAUGUGGCACCUCCGGGUGUGUUAUAGACUUUAGUCGCAUACGGCGGUCGGGAUCGAGGAACGCAGCGCGCCGUAAGGCAGGGGUUCGCCCACUUUCGCGCUUAGGAUGCUGGCGUAAUGGCUUUAAACGACCCGUCUUGAAACACGGACCAAGGAGUCUAACAUACCUGCGAGUGUUUGGGUGGAAAACCCGAGCGCGUAAUGAAAGUGAAAGUUGAGACCUCUGUCGUGGAGGGCAUCGACGCCCGGACCUGACGUUCUCUGACGGAUCCGCGGUAGAGCAUGUAUGUUGGGACCCGAAAGAUGGUGAACUAUGCCUGAAUAGGGUGAAGCCAGAGGAAACUCUGGUGGAGGCUCGUAGCGAUUCUGACGUGCAAAUCGAUCGUCAAAUUU